rnacentral:rRNA from 1 species
UACGGGGGGGGGCAAGCGUUGUUCGGAAUUACUGGGCGUAAAGGGUCUGUAGGUGGCCAACUAAGUCAGACGUGAAAUCCCUCAGCUUAACUGGGGAACUGCGUCUGAUACUGGUUGGCUUGAGUGCAGGAGAGGAAUGCGGAAUUCCAGGUGUAGCGGUGAAAUGCGUAGAUAUCUGGAGGAACACCGGUGGCGAAGGCGGCAUUCUGGACUGCAACGACACUGAAAGACGAAAGCCAGGGGGAGCAAACGGG